CAGGCUGUAACUCAGGGUAGAGUGCCCGCCUAACAUACAGGGAGCUCUGGGUUCAAUCCCCAGCACUGA
rnacentral:tRNA from 1 species